CCUACGGGUGGCAGCAGUGAGGAAUAUUGGACAAUGGACGAGAGUCUGAACCAGCCAAGUAGCGUGAAGGAUGAAUGCCCUAUGGGUUGUAAACUUCUUUUAUAUGGGAAUAAAACGUUCCACGUGUGGGAUUUUGUAUGUACCAUAUGAAUAAGGAUCGGCUAACUCUGUGCCAGCAGCCGCGGUAAUACGGAGGAUCCGAGCGUUAUCCGGAUUUAUUGGGUUUAAAGGGAGCGUAGGUGGAUUGUUAAGUCAGUUGUGAAAGUUUGCGGCUCAACCGUAAAAUUGCAGUUGAAACUGGCAGUCUUGAGUACAGUAGAGGUGGGCGGAAUUCGUGGUGUAGCGGUGAAAUGCUUAGAUAUCACGAAGAACUCCGAUUGCGAAGGCAGUUCACUGGACUGCAACUGACACUGAGGCUCGAAAGUGUGGGUAUCAAACAGGAUUAGAUACCCGUGUAGUC
rnacentral:rRNA from 1 species